UAGCUCAGUUGGGAGAGUGCUUGCCUUGCAUGCACAAGGCCCUGGGUUCAAUUCCCAG
rnacentral:tRNA from 1 species